rnacentral:rRNA from 1 species
GACGUAGGGCGCGAGCGUUGUCCGGAUUUAUUGGGCGUAAAGAGCUCGUAGGCGGCUCGUUGCGUCGGCUGUGAAAACCCGCAGCUCAACUGUGGGCUUGCAGCCGAUACGGGCGGGCUAGAAUUCGGUAGGGGAGACUGGAAUUCCUGGUGUAGCGGUGAAAUGCGCAGAUAUCAGGAGGAACACCGGUGGCGAAGGCGACUACCUGGCCUGUUCUUGACGCUGAGGCGCGAAAGCUAGGGGAGCAAACGGG